rnacentral:rRNA from 1 species
UACCAAGGGGGCUAGCGUUGUUCGGAAUCACUGGGCGUACAGCGCACGCAGGCGGAUCGAUAAGUCGGGGGUGAAAGCCCGGGGCUCAACCUCGUAAUUGCCUUCGAUACUGUCGGUCUCGAGUCCGGGAGAGGUGAGGGGAAUUCCGAGUGUAGAGGUGUAAUUCGUAGAUUUUAGGAAGAACACCAGUGGCGAAGCCGGCUCACUGGCCCGGUACUGACGCUCAGGUGCCAAAUGGUCGGGAGCUAUCACG